rnacentral:rRNA from 1 species
AAUCAACGCUGGCGGCGUGCCUCAGACAUGCAAGUCGAACGAUUAAAGCUCUCUUCGGAGAGUGUAUAGAGUGGCGCACGGGUGAGUAACACGUAAGUAAUCUACCCUCGAGUGGGGAAUAACAACCGGAAACGGUUGCUAAUACCGCAUAAUGCAGCGGCACCGCAAGGUGACAGCUGUUAAAGAUUUAUCGCUUGAGGAGGAGCUUGCGGCAGAUUAGCUAGUUGGUAGGGUAACGGCUUACCAAGGCUACGAUCUGUAACCGGUCUAAGAGGACGGUCGGUCACACUGACACUGAAUAACGGGUCAGACUCCUACGGGAGGCAGCAGUCGGGAAUUUUGGGCAAUGGGCGAAAGCCUGACCCAGCAACGCCGCGUGAAGGAUGAAGUAUUUCGGUAUGUAAACUUCGAAAGAAUAGGAAGAAUUAAUGACGGUACUAUUUAUAAGGUCCGGCUAACUACGUG